rnacentral:rRNA from 1 species
CAGCCGCCGCGGUAAUACCGGCGGCCCGAGUGGUGGCCGCUAUUAUUGGGCCUAAAGCGUCCGUAGCCGGGCCCGUAAGUCCCUGGCGAAAUCCCACGGCUCAACCGUGGGGCUUGCUGGGGAUACUGCGUGCCUUGGGACCGGGAGAGGCGGGGGGUACCCCUGGGGUAGGGGUGAAAUCCUAUAAUCCCAGGGGGACCGCCAGUGGCGAAGGCGCCCCGCUGGAACGGGUCCGACGGUGAGGGACGAAGGCCAGGGGAGCAAACCGGAUUAGAUACCCGGGUAGUCCUGGCUGUAAAGGAUGCGGGCUAGGUGUCGGGUGAGCUGCGGGCUCGCCCGGUGCCGUAGGGAAGCCGUUAAGCCCGCCGCCUGGGGAGUACGGCCGCAAGGCUGAAACUUAAAGGAAUUGGCGGG